GAUGAACGCUAGCGAUAGGCUUAACACAUGCAAGUCGCGGGGCAGCACAAGGUAGCUUGCUAUCUGGGUGGCGACCGGCGCACGGGUGCGUAACGCGUAUGCAACUUGCCCUAUACAGGAGGAUAACCCGUCGAAAGACGGACUAAUACUGCGUAUGCUCACAACUUGGCAUCAAGUGGUGAGGAAAGAAAUUCGGUAUAGGAUAGGCAUGCGUCCCAUUAGCUUGUUGGUGAGGUAACGGCUCACCAAGGCAACGAUGGGUAGGGGAACUGAGAGGUUUAUCCCCCACACUGGUACUGAGACACGGACCAGACUCCUACGGGAGGCAGCAGUGAGGAAUAUUGGUCAAUGGGCGCGAGCCUGAACCAGCCGAGUCGCGUGAAGGAUGACUGUCUUAUGGAUUGUAAACUUCUUUUAUACGGGAAUAACAAGAGUCACGUGUGACUCCCUGCAUGUACCGUAUGAAUAAGCAUCGGCUAACUCCGUG
rnacentral:rRNA from 1 species